rnacentral:snRNA from 1 species
AGGAUCCGAACCAGUCCUGAUC